AUUGUUGUUUGUUGUAGAUAGGAGAGAUGAUUUAUCAAGGGUUGAUUCGGACAAGUUCAAUUCGAUUAUCAAUGAACGAUUCUGGUAAUUAACUUUCCUCUUGACAAUAGUGCUUUCUUUAAUUUGGUUUUCAGUACAGAAACCUAGAGAACAAGCUGCAGAUGCUGAAGCUCUAUUGAACAUCACAAACACGUUGGUUACAUCUGUUAAAGCACACAGUCAAGAAGGAAUUACCCCUUUUAGACUUUGUAAACUGUCUGCUUAGAGAUUUUGGGCGACAAGGUCGGGCAAGUACCAGUGCAGAGGAUGGUCUUGAGGAUGGCAAUAUCCCAUUUGGUUCAGUGGAAGCUAGUGGCCGGUCAACGGUGAACCUUGAAAGAUCUUAGAUCAUGAUGGUGACCCGCUUGCCAUUACCACAGCUGAUGCAGUUGCAGCCAGUGGAGUACCCCCUUGGAACUGGAGAGAAACCCCUGGAAAUGAAAAAGGGCAAGAAAAAGGUUUCCAAAGAAUCUCAUGUGUUCGGAAGCUCUUGAUAAGCUUAGAGAGCAGACUAGGGAGGCUGUCAGGGGACUCGAGCCUGUCACGGGCUCGAAACCCCUUGCAGACGAUUUCGGAAAGGAUCCAAUGAUGGAGGAUUGGGUCAAGUAGUUUGAGGAGCUUGGUGGGUCUCAGGUAUUUGCUUCAAUUUCAUGAAAUUAGGGUUUAGGGUUUCGUUUAUUUCUUUGGUUUUUGCAGUUAUUUGUUUGAUUAGGAUUUAUUUAUGUGUUGUGGUAACAGUAGAAUUGUGAAUUCACUAUGUGCUUUUGGGAUUUGAUUGAGUUGAUAAUUAAGCUUUUGCUCAACAAUCAUUUUCCAAUUGGAUUAGCACAGUGUUACCAGAAAACACUAACCCUGGCGAUUCAUAUUUUGGAAUGGGUGCAUUGAAGUAUUUUAAAUUCUAGUAGUGUAAUCUAAAUAAGUGUAAUGAAGUUUGACUAGCUACUAGAUUAGCUGAUGUGAAAUAGAGUUGUCAGGUCAUCCAUAACACUGUAGUCAAAACAAACAAGAAUUCAUUUUGAUUGAAUCAGUUAGUUUUGUGUAAUGAAGUUUGAUAAUAGAAGGGAACGUUGACCUUACUAUGACUUUCCCUUUGAAAAUAUUUUUUGGUAAUCUGAUAACUGCAAGGUCUGAGGUUCUACUUUUGGCAACAAGAUGGUAAAAUUGUUCAUGCUUUUAUUUUUUAUCCAUUUGCCUAUUCAUGUUUUUAUCUGAAGGCAAAUUUGUUUUUGUAUUUUCUAACACUUGGUGAACUGUUAAUUAAACGU